rnacentral:miRNA from 1 species
GUUCUCCGAGCCUGCGAUCCUCGGGAAGGAACGCGAGGCUCUGGGAUAAUCCGUUUCAGGGAGGAAUCUGAUUGGCCGUUGAAAUGGAAUGCGUAGUUUAAUUUAGUGUAUAUCAGUGAGUUUAAUCUUAGCCAGGAUUCCUGGCUUCCGGCAACGGAUUAUCCCAGAGCCUCGCGUUCCUUCCCGAGGAUCGCAGGCUCGGGGAAC